UAUUUUAUAUCGUAGUCCUUCACUGGUUUGAUAAUCUUUAAUUACCUCUAUUACCCUCCUUCAAGAAAUAAGGUCCUUGCAGGUUAAAGUAUCCAAAUAGAGGAUGGUGAUGAAACUUCCGAUGUCGAUGAUCAUUCUUUCGAUGUGGGAAUCGGGACCGAUGUCUGCUUGGAUCAUGAGUAUAUCCUCGUGGGGUUGCAUGACAUCAUCCAACUUCUCUUUGGAGAAGUAUGUAGCCUUCUCUUCGCGGAUCCAUUUUCCGUUGUCUUGAGGUGUUGAUGUCGAGAUCAUCACCUUCCGUGAAUAUUCUCUGUUUUGGCCUAGCGAGCCACCACAAAAUAUUAUAUUGAUGAUUUUUCACUGUCUAUUCUCACUAUCGUUGUUGUCUAAAGAUAGGGAGCGUGGACGCUUCCCCUUCUGGUCAGACUUGUAGUUGUCGCGACCUCGAGGUCCUUUGUAAAAAUUGCCAAAUUCUCCUUUACGGAUAAACCACUCAACGUAUCUCGAGAUCUCUCUGUAGUGAUUUGUUAAGUGACCAUGAUCCUGUUUGAUCGUGAUCCGAGGCUAUGGGGGGUUAUUGAUAGCCUCUUUUCGCGUAUUGCAGAUUGUAACGGAAGAUCUACAAAAACACUCAAUAAUACAAUAGCAAAUUUGAUAGUAAUAAUAUAAUAUUGAUCACAAAAUAAUAUUAUUAUAUAAGUUGAGUGAAAAAUAUUAAAUUAUAAUAUAAUAUAAUAUAUAUAUAUUGCUUUGUAAAAAUAACAAGCCUCUUAAAGCACCUGAUAAUAGGUUGACGACUUUAAAGUAACUAACUUCAAAAAGUAAAUUGCCUCUUGGAGCACCUGGUAAUAGGUCAAAGACUUUAAGUGUUAGGGUUAUACCAGAAUCCGUAUUCGAAUCCGCAUUCCUCUCGUUUAUGGAGAGGAAGAGCAGAUCUGGGAGGAGGCAUCGGGAGAAGCUGAUGGAGAAGAGGAAGAACAUGACCUGCAAAAGUUAGAUGAAGGGUUUGAGCCAAACAAAGCAAGUACAUCUGAAGACAUUGGUAGGGGUAAAAGGGUAAAGGUUCAACCUAUUAAAUUUAAAGAAUAUUAUGUUAUUUUAAAAUAGAAAGUCUUGUUAUUAUUUUUUUAUAGGCCUAGUCCAUUGGCCAAGACUAUUUAAACUUUGUAAACCCUAACUUUAGGGUAUCAUUUCAUUUUUUUCAAUAAGCAUGACUUAUGAAGCUUAGGACACGGUCCUACAGAAAAUUCUCUUCUCCUCUAUUACUCAAUUCCAGGUCACUGUAGCAAGCUCGUUUUUGGGGGUUGCUGCAUUAACAUACUUUCAGGCCGACCGACCAGAUAUACCAGUCAGUGGUUCAAAAGUGUCAAACAAUUUAAUGUCUUCCUUCCAUCCAUAAACAUGAGAGGAAAACUCGAUUUAGACAUGACUUAGAUCCCAAGGCCUAUUUGCGAUACCCGAUCUUUUUUGAACUUUUGGGACUUAAUCUGAAUUCCCAAAUAUUUUUCUUUGAUAUUUUGUCGAUGAAAACACAAUUACACUUCAUAUAAUAACGGUACCAUGACUCAAUGAUUAACUAAGGACAAGGAUGUCUACAUGGUUCAUCUACUGCCAGUGGACAACCAGCUACGAUACCUGGUGGAUUUUUAGUUGCACCUUUACCUGGUGAAAUGACAACUGCAAUUCGACGACUGGACCCAUUAUCAGCUACAAUAUUUGCAUCGAUCUCAUGGCCAUCAUAUAGGAAUAGUAAUAAGAGAAGCCCUGGGAGCUUUAAACUAAUUACAGAUAACAUUCGAUUUUAUGAUCAAAAUG
rnacentral:lncRNA from 1 species